UUUCCAAUGCAACAGGUUCGAUGAAAAUAAGACUCCCUUUCAAGAUGUAAAACUGGAGUCAAUGGAAAAUAGAAACCAAAUGAAGUGAAGAGUACUCAGGGUGCGUGUUACCGGGCUGCCACAGGCUGAGCUAGGCUCACAAGAAGACUUGUAAAGAGUCCACACAAGGUCCAUGGUAUCAGGUCCACCCCUGAGUCUGAGAUGCAGGAAAUCUCCACUGAUGAGUUAAGGCAGGUAGGAUCUCACCAGACAGAGAUGGAAGAAGAUACACUAGGAAAUCAAAGUAGUAAUGAGCAAAGAAAGCAGAAAAUGGGUAUCACCAGCUUAAUAUCACAUAGUGCAAUCCUGCUGGUUUAACAAAGUGUACGUUAAAUGAUGAAAGUUGCUUGAAAGUUAGCCUUAGGCAAUCUGAAGAGUGACUUUUUGACAAGCAGUGGGGACCCGACUAAAGUUUUGGAAGGGCAAGCAGAGCUAGUGAAAGACCCUGUGCUAGGGAAUUCUUUCCUCCACUUCUUCCAGAAUAUCAGUACGGGAUGCAGCCUUAGAAAUUGUCCUUAAAAAUAAAAUAGCUAAGGAUCAGAGGAGAAUUCACUGCAGGUUGGGAGGCUUGAAACAAAGUGAUCACAACUAUGCUGGUUAGAAGUAUCUUCUAAAGCUUACUUGAAAGAAAAUUGCCAUCACCAAGUAGCUCUAGAGAAACAGUAUCGUCAGUGUAACUAUGGCUCUUACUUUAGUCCAUUUGAAAUUGUUGUAUCUAGUUUGAUGUUUUUAAAUAAUGAUCCCUUGUGAACAGGAAAAAAAAACUCAGAGAAAUGGCCCCAAACUCAGGCCAGAAGACUAAUACAACAUAUCAAUCAUGAUACACACAAAAUAUAUUUCCAAAACAUAGGCAAAUUUCUUUUAGUAGACUAACAUACCCCAGACCCAAACUGUAAGCUGGCUACAUUCACUAGCAUACUAACAUACAUGUAUUCAUUUCUUACGGUGCUAUCAUCCAAAAGGAAAAUGAUUAGGCUGGAGAAGCAUGCAUGCUGACUGAAGAAAGAUACACUGUGCAUACAAAACUAUCUAAGGAAUCGUUUCAACAUACUUCUGCACUGUGUGUAUUGGAUUCCAACAUUUUGCAGAACGGUGCCCAUAAUACAUAGAAUUAAAGGCUCCAGAAAGUCUGCAAUAAAGCAAUAAACUUAAAAA